ensembl:lncRNA
UACAGUAGCCCAGAAUAGACAAACAUUAUAUAUAUAUUAUAUAUAUUUUUCACGGCCACCAUAGCUUUUCCUUCUUGUUAGGAAGGAGAGAGUGAGGGUAAAGCAAAGGGGUUACACUGAUAGAUGCCACUAAAUCCUACACACCUGUCCUUUUCGAUGUUUUAUUUUAAUAUGACCUUCCUUUUCAACUUGUAAUAGCACAGUGCAGUCUUUAUUUAAAUUUGUCUUGCAAUAUAAAAAGUACACUAACCAAAACCCCCUCUAUUUAUACAAGACUGUUGCAGAGCAGUGUUGAGGUACAAAUGGAGGUAGCCACAGAAAGCGACCCCCCACUCCCCCAAAGUGAAGGUAGAUCUGUGAGCACAUUGACAAGACCACAGGAGAGUCAGACAGCAAGGGCCAGAAACUCAGGGCCACAUCAGGGAAAUAUGCCAGCCUUGGUACCACUCGGUGCCUACUCGUCAGACCUAUGAUCUACUUUCCUUUGAGGAAGGAGGGUUUGCUGAUUGGGAAAUUGAGCCAGAUCCUGCAAAGGCAGCAAAGAUGUUCAAAGACAACAUUUUGAAUCUGCAUGCAACUGGAAAACCUCUAAGUCUUGCCAUGGAUCUUAGAGACAGUGCAGAGGAUAGGGAAAUAGCAAUACUUUCUUUUUAUAAGAAGGCUCAUGUUGAGUGGGCUUCCCCUUUGACAUGCACACUGAAGGGAGAUCCAGCAAUUGGUGAUGGCGUGACUCGCCAUUUCUUUGCAACAAUCAUGUCCAAACUUCAGCAUGGUUUUGAUGUCAGUUUUGGGCCAGGGGGAACUCUUCUGUUUGAGGGUGAAAAAGAUCAUUUGAUUCCCUCCACUUCCCACUUCCUUCUGGAGAGCGACUUUUUUGUUGUUGCUGGCCGAAUGAUUGGUCAUUCAUUCUUACAUGAUGGGCCAUGUCUCGGUGGACUGAGCCUGGCAAUCCUACAUGUGCUCUUUAAUGGUUCCCCAGAAGAAGCCACAAUAGAUAUUAAGGACUGUGCUGACCUUGAUAUCUGUGAGACAAUUAAGUUGGUAUGA